GAUGAACGCUGGCGGCGUGCCUAAUACAUGCAAGUCGAGCGAACAGACGAGGAGCUUACUCCUCUGACGUUAGCGGCGGACGGGUGAGUAACACGUGGAUAACCUACCUAUAAGACUGGGAUAACUUCGGGAAACCGGAGCUAAUACCGGAUAAUAUGUUGAACCGCAUGGUUCAAUAGUGAAAGACGGUUUUGCUGUCACUUAUAGAUGGAUCCGCGUCGCAUUAGCUAGUUGGUAAGGUAACGGCUUACCAAGGCAACGAUGCGUAGCCGACCUGAGAGGGUGAUCGGCCACACUGGAACUGAGACACGGUCCAGACUCCUACGGGAGGCAGCAGUAGGGAAUCUUCCGCAAUGGGCGAAAGCCUGACGGAGCAACGCCGCGUGAGUGAAGAAGGUCUUCGGAUCGUAAAACUCUGUUAUUAGGGAAGAACAAAUGUGUAAGUAACUAUGCACGUCUUGACGGUACCUAAUCAGAAAGCCACGGCUAACUACGUG
rnacentral:rRNA from 1 species